CACGUAGGGCGCAAGCGUUGUCCGGAAUUAUUGGGCGUAAAGAGCUCGUAGGCGGUUUGUCGCGUCUGCCGUGAAAGUCCGGGGCUCAACUCCGGAUCUGCGGUGGGUACGGGCAGACUAGAGUGAUGUAGGGGAGACUGGAAUUCCUGGUGUAGCGGUGAAAUGCGCAGAUAUCAGGAGGAACACCGAUGGCGAAGGCAGGUCUCUGGGCAUUAACUGACGCUGAGGAGCGAAAGCAUGGGGAGC
rnacentral:rRNA from 1 species